rnacentral:tRNA from 2 species
AAGCAAGAAACCAAAAGGUAUUAUGGUUUCGGCCCAUAACUAGGUGUACAACUACACCCUCGCUUU